CCAUCUUUGUUGUCUCUUGAGUCUCCUAAAACACCAGACCGGAACAUCUCUAAGACACAAUACAUGCUUUUCAUCCACACGCAGUAAAUCUCUUUGUGGUCUAAGAACAGACUUUCAGAGAAAAUUAGAGAUCAUUUACCACACAGUCUCUGUGUAGCCAUUUUCAAACCGUGAGUCACAUGAGAUGCAGCGAAUGGACAGAUCAGCAUCUGUGUUUGAUAAAAUAAGAGUGUGGGAGUUUGAGGAGGAGACAGCUGCGGUCCUCUAAACAGGAGCUGUGAUAAUCAUUUAAAUGGAAAUUUCAAUGAUUUCGCUUUAAAUUACCCUAAAUUGGACGUGGUGAUGAUUCCAGCUGUCAAACUCUUUCAUUUUUACUUGGCAUAAGCUGUGAUGAUGAGCACCUAUCAGGAUCAACUGAAUGCUGGAUUUUCAAAAGACACAUGUCUGAGAAAACCAUGUUUGUGGUUACCCUAAAGUUUUAAAUGACAUGAGGGUGAGUAACUGAUUUUCAUUUUUGGGUGAAUUAUCACUUUAAAACCAUUAUUAUUAGCCAUUGACGACAGUCCUGUUCAACUA
ensembl:lncRNA